rnacentral:tRNA from 1 species
AGGGGUAUAGCUCAGUUGGUAGAGCACUGGUCUCCAAAACCAGGUGUCGUGAGUUCGAAUCUUACUGCCCCUG